rnacentral:lncRNA from 1 species
GUUAAAGGGUGGUGACCAGGGAGUUGCCAGGUUUUAGAAAGGACCACUUUGACGAGGAAUUCUGUUACUUCAUUUCUCCUGGAGUGUUUUGUUGUUUUUGCUUUUUGUCAAAAUCCUUCCCUUCCAGUCACCCUUUGAAACCUUUAGGCUCAAAUCCCCUCAAUGGUGAUGAGGGUUACUGGCUAAUCCAGGGCUGGUUCAUUCCUCUCAAUGCAGGAUUUCACACUCAUUGCCGAUCUAAUCCUCCACAGUCCUCUGGCCAACUCCCUGCCUGUACGAUGUCUGCAGUGCUUUGUCCUGUUUAAAGCUGACCGAACACCAAGCCUUUCUCUUCUGGGUUAUUGCCCAAGGGUCAUCUCCGGAUGAGGGUGGCUCCAAACCUGCCCUGAUCUUAAGGAUAAGAGUUAGAGGGUUAAGCAGCCCUGGUAAACUCUGAGGAACAGCAGCCGCAGCGGUCUCCCAGCACAGCCAACACUGGUCACAUCUCAGCGAGGGGACGGGGUCUAGCCUGGGCACUUGGAUGGUGACUGGAUCCACGUCUGCUGAGCUUAGGUGGCUGUAUUUCUUCAGCACUCUGAUCCUGAUGGAUGCCAGGAUGUAGCAUUUUUCCUUCCUA